ensembl:processed_transcript
UUCCAGCUUAAAUUUGUGAUUUGUGAAGCUAUAAACGAACUACUGUUGACUUUGUGCUUGACUGCACAACAUGGGGAGUAAAGAUGCACGGACAGUAUUAAAAUACCUGUUAGGAUUCCAAAUAAGCUAUCCUGCUAACUCAGUUAAACUAAAAAGACUGGACACUGAAUCAUAUAAGAGAAAGAAGCACAGGUGUUCAGGAAUGUUUUGUGUUCAUGAAUGGACCAAGGGAUCAUUAUUGUUACAAAGGUGAGUGUUUCUGCAAUUUCUCAAAUUGUCCCUCUCCUCAUUCUUUAUGUGAUAUAGCAGCUAUAGUAAAUAUAUCAUCCAGGAAGAUGAUAAGAGAUCCCUCAACCCACUAAUAGUCUGUUAAUUUUUUUUAUUUAAAUGCUGAAAAAAUUGCAUGUAUUUGAAAUUUUAAAAAAAAACAAGAAAUUAAAGAAUUUUAUUACAAAUGUUACCAUCUUAUAAAGCUAUUGUAGGUUUAUUCAGUGCAAAGACACCAAUCUUUCAACGUUUAUUGAAAAUAAUUCAUGACCUAAAAAUUUUUUAUAAGGGUUUAGGGUGACAUGAAGGAUACAUUACUUUCAAUUUUAAUUUUGGGGCUGACAAACACUUUAAGAAAAAAGUGUUAAGUCUUAGUGU